AGCCAGCUGCCGUCAGACAACACGGACGUUGAGAGCUCAUGAUCAUUAUGACAAAAUCUCUGGUCAAUGAUCGACUACUUUCCGAUCAAUCUUUCUUGUUGAGGUAACUGGGCAUAAGAGUAGUUCGGCCAGACAUUCAAGGAUGAAAACUUGUCUCAUCAACGGAUUUCCUGGCUUGAUGCGAAAGAAGGCUUUACUCUGACUUACGGAUAGAUAUGUGGUCAGCCUGAAAGUUAUUCUUCCUUUUGAGAACAGGUUUUUUUAUUUGUUCUAAUAUAAGUUCAUGUGAAGAAAGAAUUUUUUGUUAGAGUGUAUAAAGGGAAUAAAGGAUCUUGCAGAUCAAGUUCAAGUUUUCCAACUCUCAAGCAUCUAUUUCGUCUCAUGGUGCAAUUCUCUGGGCCGAAAUUUGAAUGGGAAAUUGUGAAAACUCUUGAUUGAUGAGGAAAAUACUGGAAUUGCCGGAGGAAUUGAACAGGAGACAACGAUUUCUCUUGGUUUGCAGACUAAGAAGCUUUUGAAGAUAUUCCACGUAACAAAUUGAACUUUGUCUGAUCAACGUGAGAUACGAGAAGGCUGUGGUGAGCACCUGCGAAGGAAUGAACCAAUCAGUUACGAAUAACAGUGCAACUGAUGAUUAUUACUUACCGAUUUCAACGUGUCCAGUGUGACGGGAAAAAAUCCAGCUGCCGUGAGAUGGCAAGGCCGUUGAGCUCUCAUGAUCAUAACGACAAAAUCUCUCGUCAAUGAACGUGAUCUCUCGGAAUGACUUCUCUCGUACCAUUUUGAAUUGUAAGGCCCUUGGCAGACGUCAACACUUGCCAAUGACAAGUUGUGACAGGUGUAUGAAAAGGAGAGUAAUUGAGUUAGACAUCCACCAAUGUAAACUGUAAACUUUACACGUCUUAUCAAAAUGUUUCCAGGCUUGAGGAAUAAAGGAAUAAUUAUUAAUGA